rnacentral:rRNA from 1 species
GUGGGGAAUAUUGGACAAUGGGCGAAAGCCUGAUCCAGCCAUGCCGCGUGUGUGAAGAAGGUCUUCGGAUUGUAAAGCACUUUAAGUUGGGAGGAAGGGCAGUAAGUUAAUACCUUGCUGUUUUGACGUUACCGACAGAAUAAGCACCGGCUAACUUCGUGCCAGCAGCCGCGGUAAUACGAAGGGUGCAAGCGUUAAUCGGAAUUACUGUGCGUAAAGCGCGCGUAGGUGGUUUUGUAAGUUGGAGGUGAAAUCCCCGGGCUCAACCUGGGAACUGCCUCCAAAACUGCAUGACUAGAGUACGGUAGAGGGUAGGGGAAUUUCCUGUGUAGCGGUGAAAUGCGUAGAUAUAGGAAGGAACACCAGUGGCGAAGGCGACUACCUGGACUGAUACUGACACUGAGGUGCGAAAGCGUGGGGAGCAAACAGGAUUAGAAACCCCGGUAGUCC